GAUGAACGCUAGCUACAGGCUUAACACAUGCAAGUCGAGGGGCAGCAUGGUCUUAGCUUGCUAAGGCCGAUGGCGACCGGCGCACGGGUGAGUAACACGUAUCCAACCUGCCGUCUACUCUUGGACAGCCUUCUGAAAGGAAGAUUAAUACAAGAUGGCAUCAUGAGUUCACAUGUUCACAUGAUUAAAGGUAUUCCGGUAGACGAUGGGGAUGCGUUCCAUUAGAUAGUAGGCGGGGUAACGGCCCACCUAGUCUUCGAUGGAUAGGGGUUCUGAGAGGAAGGUCCCCCACAUUGGAACUGAGACACGGUCCAAACUCCUACGGGAGGCAGCAGUGAGGAAUAUUGGUCAAUGGGCGAGAGCCUGAACCAGCCAAGUAGCGUGAAGGAUGACUG
rnacentral:rRNA from 1 species